UAUCUUUGCGCCCUGAUUGAAAAUCAAUCAAAUACAUAAAAAUCAUUAAACAAAUAUUGGAAUG
rnacentral:ncRNA from 1 species